CGGAGGGGCAAGCUGUCUUCACAGGGUCAGCCAGGGGCAAAAGGAAAAAGUCAGGGGGACCAAGGCAUAUGCCUGAAAGAAAAAGGCCACAAAAGAAUUGUUCCUACCACACUCGCCUAGAGGCUUUCCCCAUCAGGAGUGUUGUAAAAGAAAGAGUGAGAAAGGUUAGACAGUCAUGAAGGAACUGCAGAGUGUAGGCGGUAUGCAGAUUGUAAUAUAGGAUUUAGAAACUUCCUUGUGUUGACAAAUACAGGUUAAACUUGGAAAAAUUUGAAUAUCAUGCAAAAGUCCACUUAUUUCAGUAAUUCAAAUUAAA